UUUUGGAGGCUGUAAGUCCGUGAUCAGGGAGCCAGCAUGGAGAGCUUGCUAAUUGAAGUUGAAGGAUUAAAUAUCCUCCUGAAAGCACUCAAGCUAAUGAAGAUUGCAAAUUCAGAUGCCUACUUGGCCAACCCCAGAGAGGGCUGUCCAAAGUGGAGGGACACGUGGCCAUGAAAGGGGCUGCAGAGACUAGUUAAACUUGUUACUGUGCUCAAUCUGCAGGCUGUUGCCUUUCCUUGGCUUCCUUUUCAACUCCAUGUUACAGACCUGCCCCAAAGAUCUAUCCAUUAAUCAUUCACUCAAAAAUACAGACUGAGCCCUUCUGAUAUUGCUGAGUCCUGCCAUCAAGGAUACAUCAUCACAA